rnacentral:lncRNA from 1 species
AAGAAGUUCAAGAAUGACAAGGAUGCAAAAAGCGGGAAAGAGGAUUAAGCUUACAAGACUUGAGUUAUAGUCUUAUUGAGUUAUAAUCCAUGUUAUUUUAGGAUCCUUAUGCGAGUAGUAGAAAAAGUUCUCUUGAAAAUAUAUCACACACUCACAAUAAUUUUUAUUUAAAUAUAAUUUUUCAUAAAAAUAUUUUGGC